rnacentral:rRNA from 1 species
AGAAGCUUGCUUCUCUUGAGAGCGGCGGACGGGUGAGUAAUGCCUAGGAAUCUGCCUGGUAGUGGGGGAUAACGUCCGGAAACGGACGCUAAUACCGCAUACGUCCUACGGGAGAAAGCAGGGGACCUUCGGGCCUUGCGCUAUCAGAUGAGCCUAGGUCGGAUUAGCUAGUUGGUGGGGCAAUGGCUCACCAAGGCGACGAUCCGUAACUGGUCUGAGAGGAUGAUCAGUCACACUGGAACUGAGACACGGUCCAGACUCCUACGGGAGGCAGCAGUGGGGAAUAUUGGACAAUGGGCGAAAGCCUGAUCCAGCCAUGCCGCGUGUGUGAAGAAGGUCUUCGGAUUGUAAAGCACUUUAAGUUGGGAGGAAGGGCAGUAAAUUAAUACUUUGCUGUUUUGACGUUACCGACAGAAUAAGCACCGGCUAACUCUGUGCCAGCAGCCGCGGUAAUACAGAGGGUGCAAGCGCUAAUCGGAAUUACUGGGCGUAAAGCGCGCGUAGGUGGUUCGUUAAGUUGGAUGUGAAAUCCCCGGGCUCAACCUGGGAACUGCAUUCAAAACUGACGAGCUAGAGUAUGGUAGAGGGUGGUGGAAUUUCCUGUGUAGCGGUGAAAUGCGUAGAUAUAGGAAGGAACACCAGUGGCGAAGGCGACCACCUGGACUGAUACUGACACUGAGGUGCGAAAGCGUGGGGAGCAAACAGGAUUAGAUACCCUG